rnacentral:tRNA from 1 species
GCCGGAGUAGCUCAGUUCGGAGAGCGUUAGACUGAAGAUUUAAAUGUCUACGGUUCGAUCCCGGGUUCCGGCA